UGCACACACCGCCCGUCAAGCCACGAAAGAAGAGAGCGCUCCAAGUCGCCAAGCUAACCCUUACCGGAAGCCAGCGCCUAAAGCGAGAUCUUUGAUUGGGGCUAAGUCGUAACAAGGUAGCCGUAUCGGAAGGUGCGGCUGGAUCACCUCCUUUCU
rnacentral:rRNA from 2 species